rnacentral:lncRNA from 1 species
AAAUAACGGAGCUAAAGGUCUCAAAACCACCAUCCCUUCUUGCCCUACCACUGCAGAUCAGGGAAUCAGGUGAUAAGAAUGAAGAAUAGGUGACUGAGCCAAGAGUGAGAGAAAAAACUAAUAUAUAUUGCAUUCCUGCUAUAUGCCAAGCGUUAUGCUGCAUUAUCCAACAAAUAUUGCCACAUGCCUACCAUAUGCCAGAACUAUUUUAAACACUGGGGUUACAAAGUGACUCCAUCUACUAAAGAAUAAAACAUUAGAGCACUGGUUCUCUCCACUAAUCAACCGUCAUAGCCUUGGAAGUGAACUACCCCAAAUCUCGCAUCAUCAGAAUUAAUACUGUUUUAUACACCCACAAAUAGCCACCACCUUUGUACGUUCAAGCAACUGUUCAUUUGAAUUCCAAACUCAUGCCAAAUCUUUAAUGCAUUCUGCAGUUAAUCUCCAACCUACUCAUUUAUUCAUUCAUUCAAUGAAUAUUGAGUGCUUACCAUAUGCCAGAUACAAUUCCAACUGCUGAAGAUACAAAGCCCAAGCCAUUACAGGAUUCAUAGUUUAGUAGAAAAAAGAGAUAUCACAUAAAUAGAUGCAACCUCUACCUCCUGGACUCAAGCAAUCUUCCCACCCCAGCCUUCAGAGUAGCUGGGAUUACAGGUGCUAGUAAAACUGUUGAGGACGCCAUUUCAACCUUUAGAAUUGUACAUAACAUAAACUUUUGCUAGAUAGAUAGAUAGAUAGAUAGAUAGAUAGAUAGAUAGAUAGAUAGAUAGAUAGAUAGAUGAUAGAAAGAAUAAUGUUGACAUGUUCUUAGUGAAAAAACUGAGUUGUCACUCAGCAACAAUUAUUUCUUUGUUAGUAAGUUAUGUAUGAAUUUUAAUUGGGCUCAUGACCACCUAGAAUAGAAGCUACACUUCCCAACCUUUCUGGAGUUAUGUACGGCUAUAUGGCUAAGUUCUGCCCAAUGGGAUGUAAACAGAAGUAUGAACAAUAUCAGACAUGUUCUGAUACAUACUUUUCUCAACCUAGCAUGAGUUCUCACUCCAGCU